rnacentral:rRNA from 1 species
CUGGUAGUCUUUGACGCAGUUGCGCCCCAAGCCUUCUGGCCGAGGGCACGUCUGCCUGGGCGUCA